rnacentral:rRNA from 1 species
AAAAACAUUUCUUUAAAGAAAAUAAAGUAAUACCUGCUCACUGUGAAUAUAUAAAGAGCCGCGCUUUUAAUCGUGCUAAGGUAGCAUAAUAAUUUGGUUUUUAAUUAAGAUCUAGAAUGAAAGGUUAAACGAGAUAUAAGCUUUUUUGUUUAUUCCUUUUCGAAUUUUUCAUUAAAGUGAAAAGACUUUAAUUAUCUAAAUAGAAGAGAAGACCCUGGGAAUUUAAAUUUUUUAAUGCAUUUUACAUAUAGUAAUUUUAGCUGGGGCGGCUUUUAAGUAAAAAUAACCUUAAAUUUUUUAAACUUAUAAAAGUAUAUUUAAGAUCCUGUUGAAGUAGAUUAUAAGGAAAAUUACCCCAGGGAUAACAGCGUAAUUUUUAUUUAGAGAUCUAAUCGUAAGGAAAGUUUGUGA